GACGAACGCUGGCGGCGUGCUUAACACAUGCAAGUCGAACGGACAGGCCCUGCUUUUGUGGGGUGCUCGAGUGGCGAACGGGUGAGUAACACGUGAGUAACCUGCCCUUGACUUUGGGAUAACCUCAGGAAACUGGGGCUAAUACCGGAUAGGAGCUCCUGCUGCAUGGUGGGGGUUGGAAAGUUUCGGCGGUUGGGGAUGGACUCGCGGCUUAUCAGCUUGUUGGUGGGGUAGUGGCUUACCAAGGCUUUGACGGGUAGCCUGCCUGAGCGGGGGACCGGGCACAAGAGUACUGAGAGAGGGCCCAGAAGCCUAUGGGACGCAGCAGGGGAGAAUAUGACAGAAUGGGCGGACGCCUGAGGUAGAAACGCCGCGUGCGUGAUGACGGCUUACGGGGUGUAAACCGCUGUCGCAGGUGACGAAGCGUGAGUGACGGUACUGGGUAAAGAAGCACCGGCUAACUACGUG
rnacentral:rRNA from 1 species